UUGAACUGAAGAGUUUGAUCCUGGCUCAGAUUGAACGCUGGCGGCAUGCCUAACACAUGCAAGUCGAACGGCAGCGCGGGGAGCUUGCUCCC
rnacentral:rRNA from 1 species